CGUGUUUUGGAUUUACCAAACGAUGAAACUUCGGUGAGAGCUCACUGAAGAUGAACGGAGUGUUCCAGGUCGUCUAAGUUUGGCCAGACACGUUGGAUUAUGUGUUUUGUUUGCAGUGCGUUCCAACGUGCGUCCUAACAUGUGGAGUGUUGGAUCUUCCACGUCAAUUAAUUAGGUGUGAUGCAACGCUCCGUGUUUUUUCUGAUUUUUAUUAUUUUUAAUUUCUUUUUCUUUUAAAAUUUAU
rnacentral:lncRNA from 1 species